CAGGGCGAUGGAGGUGGCAAGGGGAAGCGCAAGGCGAAGAGAGACGCCACCACACCGAAGCAGGACGAGGAGAUCAAGGUUGUCUUUUCGGAGCAGGACAAGCCUCCGCUCGGGCUGGAUAUGGACUGGAAGGAGCACGAAGUGUUGCAGGUCAUGCCCAACACG
rnacentral:SRP_RNA from 11 species